UAUGAAACCUCAGUCAAUCAGUUUGACUUCCCUGAAUAACAUUGUGGUGGCUACUUUAUAAUAAACUCUGAUAUGUUGUAUAUUGCUUAUCUUCCAGUGAGUGAGUGGUUGAACGGGACUGUGUUCAUGGAACGUCCGUGGCUGGAGGCAGAACGGUGGCUGCUGGUGGCUGUGUUGGGAAUGGAGAUGCUUAUGGGAGUUGUGGGAAACUUUCUUGUGCUGUUGGUCAAAGUCACGUGCAGGGGUCAUUUCUGCUGUCGUUACUGGCUUCCUUUCUUCAGCCUCACCAUGUCAGAUUUAGGCUGCUCCCUCCUCAUCAUCCCUGGAUCUCUGUUGGCCAUGCUGACAGGAAGGCAGAGGUCACCGUGGUGUGAAGUCGUCAGCCUGCUCAAGUUUGCCUUCA
ensembl:lncRNA